rnacentral:rRNA from 1 species
UGUUCGUUAUUUAGGGCGCAUGGUGGAUGCCUUGGCAUGCUGGGCCGAUGAAGGACGUGUAAGGCUGCGUUAAGCCUCGGGGAGUUGUCAAUAGAGCGUUGAUCCGAGGAUGUCCGAAUGGGGAAACCUGGCACCUGUUAUGGGGUGUUACCCUUCAGUGAAUUCAUAGCUGUUGUGGGGGUUUACGCGGGGAAGUGAAACAUCUCAGUACCCGUAGGAGAAGAAAAUAAAAUAUGAUUCUGCUAGUAGUGGCGAACGAACGUGGAUGAGGCUAAACCGUGUGCAUGUGAUACUUGGUAGGGGUUGUGUGUGCGGUGUUGUGGGCCCCAAUGUGCGGUGACUACCAUCAUCGUGCUUGUGUGUUGUUGUUAGGUGAAGUGGUGUGGAAACGCCUACCGUAGAGGGUGAUAGUCCCGUAGUUGAAGGCUUCAAUGCAUGGGUUGUUGGGUUGCCCGAGUAGCAGCGGGCUCGUGGAAUCUGCUGUGAAUCUGCCGGGACCACCCGGUAAGCCUAAAUACUCAGUGUGACCGAUAGUGUAUUAGUACCGUGAGGGAAUGGUGAAAAGUACCCCGGGAGGGGAGUGAAAUAGUUCCUGAAACCAUGUGCUUACAAUCCGUCAGAGCACCUGUAUGUGUGUGAUGGCGUGCCUUUUGAAGAAUGAGCCUGCGAGUCAGCGGCAUGUCGCGAGGUUAACCCGUGUGGGGUAGCCGUAGGGAAACCGAAUCCUCAUGGGGUGUUUAGUGGCAUGUCCUGGACCCGAAGCGGGGUGAUCUACCCAUGGCCAGUGUGAAGCAGUAGUAAGAUGCUGUGGAGGCGCGAACCCACGUAGGUUGAAAACUGCGGGGAUGAGCUGUGGGUAGGGGUGAAAGGCCAAUCAAACUCCGUGAUAGCUGGUUCUCCCCGAAAUGCAUUUAGGUGCAGCGUCGCAUUAGCUUGGUGGAGGUAGAGCUACUGGUUGGUUGAGCGGGACUACAAUCUUAGCAAUGUCAGCCAAACUCCGAAUGCCACUAAUUGUGUUGUGCGGCAGUGAGACUGUGGGGGAUAAGCUUCAUAGUCGAGAGGGAAACAGCCCAGAUCGCCGGUUAAGGCCCCUAAGGGUGUGCUAAGUGGAAAAGGAUGUGGGAUCGCGAAGACAGCCAGGAGGUUGGCUUAGAAGCAGCCAUCCUUGAAAGAGUGCGUAAUAGCUCACUGGUCGAGUGGUCCUGCGCCGACAAUGUAGUGGGGCUCAAGCACACCGCCGAAGCCGCGGCAAUACUUUUUGUAUUGGGUAGGGGAGCGUCGUGCAUGUGUUGAAGCGUUACCGUAAGGCGGCGUGGAGUGUGUGCGAGUGAGAAUGCAGGCAUGAGUAACGAAUUGGAAGGUGAGAAUCCUUCCCGCCGGAUGACUAAGGGUUCCUGGGUCAAGUUCGUCUUCCCAGGGUGAGUCGGGACCUAAGGCGAGGCCGACAGGCGUAGUCGAUGGAUAACCAGUUGAUAUUCUGGUACCCGUAUAUCCGCGCCCAUGAUAAAGCACUGAUACUAACCACCGCGGAUACGAUCGUCGUGUUCUUUGAACACGGUGGUUGUUGAUGUCGUGGGGCCUGAUGUGUGGUUCAAGUGAUGGGGUGACACAGUGUGGUAGCCAUGCCGCUGAGUGGAUUGUUGGUGUAAGCGUGUGAGGUGGUGUGUAGGCAAAUCCGCACACCGUGUACCUGAGGCGUGAUGCGUAGCCCAAAUGUGGGUGAAGUUGGUGAUCUAGUACUGUCGAGAAAAGCCUCUAGCGAUGUGGAUGUAUGGCCCGUACCCUAAACCGACACAGGUGGUCAGGUUGAAAAUACUAAGGCGUUCGGGUGAACUGUGGUUAAGGAACUCGGCAAAAUGCCCCCGUAACUUCGGGAGAAGGGGGACCACACGACUUUGACACUUCUUGCAAGUGUUGUGGGUUGUGGGGUCGCAGAGAAUAGAGGGAAGCGACUGUUUAUCAAAAACACAGGUCCAUGCGAAGACGUUAAGUUGAUGUAUAUGGACUGACGCCUGCCCGGUGCUGGAAGGUUAAGAGGACCGGUUAGUAGUCUUUGACUGCGAAGCUGAGAAUUUAAGCCCCAGUAAACGGCGGUGGUAACUAUAACCAUCCUAAGGUAGCGAAAUUCCUUGUCGGGUAAGUUCCGACCUGCACGAAUGGCGUAACGACUUCUCUGCUGUCUCAACCACAGGCCCGGUGAAAUUGCACUACGAGUAAAGAUGCUCGUUACGCGCGGCAGGACGAAAA